AGUGAACGCUGGCGGUAGGCCUAACACAUGCAAGUCGAACGGCAGCACAGUAAGAGCUUGCUCUUACGGGUGGCGAGUGGCGGACGGGUGAGGAAUACAUCGGAAUCUACUUUUUCGUGGGGGAUAACGUAGGGAAACUUACGCUAAUACCGCAUACGACCUACGGGUGAAAGCAGGGGAUCUUCGGACCUUGCGCGAUUGAAUGAGCCGAUGUCGGAUUAGCUAGUUGGCGAGGUAAAGGCCCACCAAGGCGACGAUCCGUAGCUGCUCUGAGAGGAUGAUCAGCCACACCGGAACUGAGACACGGUCCAGACUCCGACGGGAGGCAGCAGUGGGGAAUAUUGGACAAUGGGCGAAAGCCUGAGCCAGCCAUACCGCGUGGGUGAAGAAGGCCUUCGGGUUGUAAAGCCCUUUUGUUGGGAAAGAAAAGCAGCAGGUUAAUACCCCGCUGUUCUGACGGUACCCAAAGAAUAAGCACCGGCUAACUACGUG
rnacentral:rRNA from 1 species